rnacentral:sRNA from 1 species
ACUCAACACUAACAAAUUCAAAUGAGUGAAUCUUCGCUUCUAAAGCAAACUGCCCCUGAGCAGGUCCUUGAACAGCGAGUUAACUCAAAACUUGUCCUUACGAGUUU